rnacentral:lncRNA from 1 species
CUUUACAGCUUUGAACGUGGCUUGCAUUCAGUCCAUGCAAGCUCUGAGCUGGAGAGCAGGACAAGGCCCAUUACUUUUAAUGGUCCUCAUCAUGCAGGAUGUAGGGAGGAUGGCUCUGUGGGGAAAACUGUUCCCUAUUUGGCAAUGCAAAGGACAUAAAGCAAGAAUGGGAUGUGUUUCAGAGAGGCAUUCUGCCUAAUGUUUAUUUGAAACCCACAGAGUGACUUAAUCAAAGACGUAAGAGACAUUUCUAAGAAGAAAAAAGUGAAUUGAACAGGUUCAGAGCACACUGAGUAGGUAAUUAACUAUUGGUUUUCUGACAAGAUCACUCUUGAUGGCCAAAGCCUUUAAAUAGGAGCAGAAAAGAGAAACUGACUUGAAUAAUCUAGUUAAACCUUAGAAGUGCCUUCCUCAUCACUGUUGCUGUCAGGGAGCUGGGAGUCAAUGUGGGCUACAGAAACUGACUCAGGUGGUUGUCCUGCUCCUCAAAGAGCAGGGACUUAUUUUGAGGAGGGAUUGAGCAUCCUUACCCCUUGAGGACAAGCAGGAUCCACACAGUACACUUUUCCUUGAUGGUCCUUUUGAUGAUCAGUUAUGUUCCAUACUAAAAUAUCUGAUAAAUUUGCACUGUAAUGUGAAAUAUCACUAGGGUGUUGUCAGCAGCUGGGGGGCAGUAACAGCAAAGAGGCUGAAGUGCCUGGGCCCUGCGGCCACGCUCCCCAAGGCCGCCUGCUGGGUCUAUUGCACAGAUACCCACCUUGACUCAUCAUUUUAUCUUCUUGCACACACUUCUCCCUGUGUUUCUCUGAAAGGAUCAUGCAAAAGGAGUGUGCUUUUUGUGUUAUUUCAGAUACAGUUACUUCAGCGGUGCAACAGAGAUGGAACUAUGCUUACAAAAAUAGAAAUAAAGCACACUGCGUGCAAACAAGGUAAACUUUCCAGUGAAAACGUUCUUUAUUCCAAAAGCAUCGGGUUUUCUCCUGAUGCUUACACUACACAAGCAAAGGAAAGGUCCUAAAAUCCAG